rnacentral:rRNA from 1 species
UACGUAGGAGGCGAGCGUUGUCCGGAAUUACUGGGCGUAAAGCGUGCGCAGGCGGUUUUCCAAGACAGAUGUGAAAUCCCCGGGCUUAACCUGGGAAUGGCAUUUGUGACUGGAAGGCUAGAGUGUGUCAGAGGGGGGUAGAAUUCCACGUGUAGCAGUGAAAUGCGUAGAGAUGUGGAGGAAUACCGAUGGCGAAGGCAGCCCCCUGGGAUGACACUGACGCUCAUGCACGAAAGCGUGGGGAGCAAACAGG